rnacentral:snoRNA from 16 species
ACCGAUGAGGAGCGUUAGCCACGCUGAAGAUGAUGACAAGAGGGUUAGCCGAGG